rnacentral:rRNA from 1 species
CGCGCAGGGUUAGGACCAUUUGAACUCUUGACCUCAAAUCAGGUAGGACUACCCGCUGAACUUAAGCAUAUCAAUAAGCGGAGGAAAAGAAACUAACAAGGAUUCCCCUAGUAACUGCGAGUGAAGCGGGAAAAGCUCAAAUUUUGAAUCUGGCGGUCUUUGCAGGCCGUCCGAGUUGUAAUCUAGAGAAGCGUCUUCCGCGCCGGCCUGUGUACAAGUCUCCUGGAAGGGAGCGUCAUAGAGGGUGAGAAUCCCGUCUCUGACACGGACCACCGGUGCUAUGUGAUGCGCUCUCGACGAGUCGAGUUGUUUGGGAAUGCAGCUCAAAAAGGGUGGUAAACUCCAUCUAAAGCUAAAUAUUGGCGAGAGACCGAUAGCGAACAAGUACCGUGAGGGAAAGAUGAAAAGGACUCUGGAAAGAGAGUUAAACAGUACGUGAAAUUGCUGAAAGGGAAACGCUCGAUGUCAGUCGCGUCGGCUGGGGGUCAACCUUGCGGUUUCGCUGGGUGUAUUUCCUGGUUGACGGGUCAGCAUCAGUUUCGGUCGUCGUACAAGGGCCAAGGGAAAGUGGCACCCUUCCGGGGGUGUGUUAUAGCCUUUCGGUCGUAUGUGGCGGCUCGGGACUGAGGAGACUCGGUGUGGGCUUCGGCUUACACUAGAGAUGCUGGCAUAAUGGCCUUGAGCGACCCGUCU